GGAUUUACAAUAAUUUGGUGAAUAAAAUAUAAGUUUGUAUUGAGUCAAACAUAUUGAUGAUUCAGAUGAUAUUGUCUACAGACACUAUAAAUAAGUCGAGAUAAGUUAUGACGUGUUAUAAUCAGUAUACAGACGCCAUAACUUAAUUACAAAAAACAAGAGCCUGCGGUUGUAAAUGUAUAAUUUUUUAAAUACACAACAUAACUUUGUGCGUACUAGAAGUUCUGUACAAUAAUACAGUCAUAAUCAGCAUUGGAAAUGAACAUGUAUUUUGCAUCGGGAUUGGAAAGCAGGAAAUUUCAUAAUCUGUUGUUGGCGCCAAAAACUUUAAAGGACCCAUACCUACUGCAAAAUGGUGAAGAUGAGACGAACGUCAUCAAACCUAGUCCUUUUUAUGGCUUUGUUUCUGGUUUGUUCACUGAGUGCUAAGGCCUGUGUGGUAGACCAUUCCUCGUUUGGUGGCUGUAAAGACGUGGGUGGACACUGUAAAACAGCGGCGGGCGAGUGUUACGUGGUCCCUACUCUAUAUUACGGAGCCCAGUGCUGCUGCUCUGUCGACGAGACAUGCCCUUGGAUUCAACCAGAUUCAAGCAUUGUUCAGAAGAACAACGAUCUUUAAACUUUCGAAGACAAUCUUUUUCAAUGUACAUAAUUGAUAUAAGAAUAUUUGAUUAUCGGACAACGACUCUUCGUUAUCAAAUAGUUGUAUGAUUUAACUUCCACCUUUGAACAUUCAACAAUCAACAUCAUAGAUUGUGAUUUUCCAGUCUAACCUUUUCCAUGUUUGUUUAUCUAAAAAGAUAUUUAUGUUAUACAUAGAUAAAAAAUAAACCAUUAAUUUAAAA